rnacentral:rRNA from 1 species
GACGAACGCUGGCGGCGUGCUUAACACAUGCAAGUCGAACGGUAAGGCCCUUCGGGGUACACGAGUGGCGAACGGGUGAGUAACACGUGGGUGAUCUGCCCUGCACUUCGGGAUAAGCCUGGGAAACUGGGUCUAAUACCGGAUAGGACCACUGCCUGCAUGGGUGGUGGUGGAAAGCUUUUGCGGUGUGGGAUGGGCCCGCGGCCUAUCAGCUUGUUGGUGGGGUGAUGGCCUACCAAGGCGACGACGGGUAGCCGGCCUGAGAGGGUGACCGGCCAAACUGGGACUGAGAUACGGCCCAGGAUCCUACGGGAGGCAGCAGGGGGGGAUAUUGCACAAUGGGCGCAAGCCUGAUGCAGCGACGCCGCGUGAGGGAUGACGGCCUUCGGGUUGUAAACCUCUUUCAGCACCGACGAAGCGCAAGUGACGGUAGGUGCAGAAGAAGGACCGGCCAACUACGUGCCAGCCGCCGCCGUAA